AUCUGACAGCCAGUAGCGUGCAGGAUGACGGCCCUAUGGGUUGUAAACUGCUUUUAUGUGAGAAUAAAGUUAGGUAUGUAUACUUAUUUGCAUGUAUCACAUGAAUAAGGACCGGCUAAUUCCGUGCCAGCAGCCGCGGUAAUACGGAAGGUCCAGGCGUUAUCCGGAUUUAUUGGGUUUAAAGGGUGCGUAGGCCGUUUGAUAAGCGUGCUGUGAAAUAUAGUGGCUCAACCUCUAUCGUGCAGCGCGAACUGUUGAACUUGAGUGCGUAGUAGGUAGGCGGAAUUCGUGGUGUAGCGGUGAAAUGCUUAGAUAUCACGAAGAACUCCGAUUGCGAAGGCAGCUUACCGUAACGUUACUGACGCUUAAGCACGAAGGUGCGGGUAUCGAACA
rnacentral:rRNA from 1 species